rnacentral:rRNA from 1 species
UACGAAGGGGACUAGCGUUGUUCGGAAUCACUGGGCGCAAAGCGCACGUAGGCGGAUGUGUCAGUCAGGGGUGAAAUCCCGGGGCUCAACCUCGGAACUGCCUUUGAUACAGCACGUCUCGAGUCCGGAAGAGGUGGGUGGAAUUCCUAGUGUAGAGGUGAAAUUCGUAGAUAUUAGGAAGAACACCGGUGGCGAAGGCGGCCCACUGGUCCGGUACUGACGCUGAGGUGCGAAAGCGUGGGGAGCAAACAGG